AUUGAACGCUGGCGGCAUGCUUUACACAUGCAAGUCGAACGGUAACAGGGAGCUUGCUCCGCUGACGAGUGGCGAACGGGUGAGUAAUGCAUCGGAACGUGCCUAUUUGUGGGGGAUAACGUAGCGAAAGUUACGCUAAUACCGCAUACGCCCUGAGGGGGAAAGCGGGGGAUUCGUAAGAACCUCGCGCAAUUAGAGCGGCCGAUGUCGGAUUAGCUAGUUGGUGGGGUAAAGGCUCACCAAGGCGACGAUCCGUAGCGGGUCUGAGAGGAUGAUCCGCCACACUGGGACUGAGACACGGCCCAGACUCCUACGGGAGGCAGCAGUGGGGGAAUUUUGGACAAUGGGCGAAAGCCUGAUCCAGCCAUGCCGCGUGAGUGAAGAAGGCCUUCGGG
rnacentral:rRNA from 1 species